GAUCCUGGCUCAGUACGAACGCUGGCGGCGUGCUUAACACAUGCAAGUCGAACGAGAAUCUGCGGAACGAGGAUUCGUCCAAGUGAAGCAGAGGACAGUGGCGGACGGGUGAGUAACGCGUGAGGAACCUGCCUUUCAGAGGGGGACAACAGUUGGAAACGACUGCUAAUACCGCAUAACACAUGGGUGUCGCAUGGCACUGAUGCCAAAGAUUUAUCGCUGAAAGAUGG
rnacentral:rRNA from 1 species